rnacentral:lncRNA from 1 species
CACACACACACACACACACACACACACACACUCUCUCUCUCUCUCUCUCUCUCUCUCUCUCUCUCUGUCUCUAUCUUGCCGCAAAAUCCAGUACCUCACUUGCUGAUUCCAACUACGAAGAUGAGGUGUAGACGCCGACGAGAUACACGACUAUGUCCGAAUAUCUCUAAUCCACGCGGAGUAAACUGAGUUGCCUUUCGACGAAUUCCAGAUACGGUCUCUGAUGACAAGCUCUGUCCGACGAGCUUGGGCAGGCCUUCAGAGUUACAAUGGGAAUCAAAGGUAUUGGAUUUAUCGCUAGUUGGCAGCUUCAAUGUGCGAUGUAAUCGUAAAAUGAGGAUAAUGGUUGAUUAGUAUGUACUUAUUUAUUGAUAUUUUUGUCUAAUUCACUUUAAAUUCAGUAACUUUAGGGGAUGUGGAUCCAUUAAUUGCAUUUUUCUUUUAUGGUUAUCAAUUGUGGUGUUCUAAUCCAAACUAUGUGUGUUUGUGAAUGUCAAUUGUUGGACGAAUUGCAAAGCAACCAGUGGACUGUGAGUAAUUGAAGAUCUUACUGUUAAUUCUAUUGGAAGUGGAAUAAUAAUAAUUGAUGAAUGAUGUAUAUAGAAGAUGUUAUUAUAGUGAUUCUUAAAUUUAUCUAUACCUUCUGUGACAUUUACCAUGAUGAUGUUGCUACAGAAUUGAAGAUUUUUUUUUUUGUUCUUGUUAAUGUGCUAGGCUGUAUCUCUAUGUUUCUUUGAGUUUUAGUAAACUUAAAAAGGCAAGCUAAGCAUAUUUGUUUAUCCUUGAUGUUUCUGUGCUAAUUUUGGCGUUUUUUUUUUGCUGUAAAAUGUUGUUUUGCUCUAUGUGCUUGUGUUAGUAUUGAUGCUUGUACAUUAGUUUAGCUCUUACUAGGGGCAAUAGACCUCGACAUAUCUCGUACUGCCCCUAGUAGACCCUCCUACUGGCCCCAAUAGACCCCCGGACAGUCUCCAUGCAUAUUGCCUCCAAAAGACCUCCUACUGCCCCUAAUAUAACCCCCAACAGACCCCCUACUGCCCCCAAUAUAACUCCCGAUAGACCCCCAACUGCUCCUAAUAGGAGGUCCUACUGACCCCAAUAGGUGGUCAUACUGCCCCCAGUAGACCUACCUACUACCCCCAGUAGACCCCAUGCAUAUUACCUCCAAAAGACCCCCUACUGCCCUCAAUAAACCUCCCGACAUAGCCCCUACUACCCCUACUACCCCUAAUAGAACCUCCCAACAGACCCCUUACUGCCUCUAAUAGAACCCCUACUGACCCCAAUAGGUGGUCCUACUGCCCCAAAUAUACCCCUCGACACAGCCCUUACUGCCCCUAAUAGACCUUUUGACAAACUCCCUAUUGCCCUAAAUAGACCCCUACUGCCCCCAACAGACAUCCUAUUGCCGGAAUCCGGUCAACAGCCUCUGGACAGACUUCAUAUUGCCCCUAAUAGACGCCCUAUUGCCCCCAAUAGACACCUUAUCCUCGGAAUCCGGUCAACGGCCCUCGGAGUCUGGUCAACGGUCCCCGGAGCCCGGUCAACAGUCGUUGGAGUUCGGUCAAUGGCCCCCGAAGCCCUGUCAACAUCAUUGGUCGUGGAAAUCCGGUUAUAAAAACUUUAUUUUAUAAUAGACUCUUAUAAUAGUUUAUUGUAGUUUAUUUAAUUCAUUAAGGGUAUAAUUGUAUUUUUGCUGUUUAAGUUGGUUUUUGAGAAUUUUAAAAUCUGAUUUUGUUAGUGGGAAUACAAUUCUUAAAAUUAGGGUUAGUGGGCAUUACAUAAGAUAAU